GUUCAAUCCCCAGUGCCAAAGAGGAAAAAAAGAAAAGAAAAAAUGGAAAUCUCUUGACUGGUUAGGGUGGUCAUAGGGUGGUACUUCUGGGAGUACCAUGCAGCUGAGCCCAAUGGUGGGAGGUCUCUGGCACAGUGGCUCCAUCUGGGCUCACUUGGAGGACCCUGAGGAUAGCAAUACGAAUUUUGCCUCCCCAAUUUCUUUUGGUAAGAUGUGAUCUGAUAGUUGUUGUCCUUUUCUUCUUUGCCAGUACAUGUGGUGCUGGGGAUGCUGUUGGUCAUUGGGUUCCCAUAUGGGAUGCUUCCUGUGCUUCCCUCUGGCUCUUGCAAGGCCCUUGACCACAGGAGCUCAAAUGGGUCUGGCAGGCUGUUGCUGUGAAGGGCAUGAUCUGUAGAGGGGAAUGGGCAGUGGGUCCCAUUACACUGCUGUCCCUACUGUUUUUGUAGGUAUAAAAUCUCCAAAAGUGGUGGUGGUUUAAGGGGUGUAAAGGUUUAAAAACAAAAAGACCCUUUUAGUGAGAACAUUAGGGUAGAGAAAGGAAAUCGGGAGGGAGAAGAGGAGGACAGAGGGAGUCCUGGAGAGUGAAAUUGAUCAAAUGAUGUUCAGGUCAGAAUUUGACACAAUGAAAACCACUGUUCUGUAUCAAACACACACACACACACACACACACACACACA
rnacentral:lncRNA from 1 species